GCAGUGAGCUGAGAUCACACCACUGUACUCCAGCCUGGGAGACAGAGUGAGACUCUGUGGAAUAGAAUGCAAAAUUCAGAUUCUUAAGGCAAUGUAUUUCUACUUUUAUAGAUUUAUUUUUAAAUAAACCCAUUUUUAUAAAAAUGAAAAAAAUACAGAUAACUUCAAAGAUACUAUUUGACUUUAAUAACUGCAUUGGAGGAUACCACUAGAUGCCCCUUGAUACAAUUCCCUCUCCUGUGGAAAAUUUUGAGAAGCACCACAGCAGCCAAGAGAACACAUUGGCACUUGUUUGGAAAGGGGUCUGUUGUUCUAAAUGCUGUACCUCCUCUGGUCUCCAGGAUUCUUCAUUUGAAAAUGACAACUAUUCUGUGAUAAAGAAAGUCAAGUUUACCCAUAUUCACUGGAUGUCUACAACUGGUGUCGGCUUUCAAAGAGCAUCCGAUACAAGGAGGCAGAAGCAUCAAGAGGCACCCAGUAGUUCAUUGGUUCAACAGUGAUGCGAGAAAUAUAGUUGUCAGGAGCACAAGAUGAUCACGUUUGCUGGUGAUCAUUUUCUCUGCAUGUAGGCAAAAUUACAUCCAGAAGUUAAAUGGGAUUCACGUUUCAUCCAGGAGGGGUUGUGUACACUCGCAGAGAGAGAGAGACUUCUAAAGGAAACACAACCUUUCUGUUGACUUAUACCAUAUUUUUAAAAAUCUCUGUGUUCUGUACAAUCAGCCAA